UUCUGGAUAUUAGCAUCUACAUUUUUAACAUGAAAGUUUUAAAUUAUAUGAUCUCCAAAGUCACUUUCUUUCUAAGACUGUAUGACUUUGUUAUUCUAAGGAAAUUCCAAAAUACUUGCUGUACAGUGAGACCAGGAAUGAUAACUCUGGGAAAAGGAAAAUCAGUGAAUAAAGAGGUAGAUUUAUUUAGAUGAAAAUACGUCAUCACAUAACAUAGUGUACCAUAAAAAGACUUUUAUGCUCCUACUGUUGCCUAAGAAGGGGGUAUUAAUUGAAGAACUCUUGGGAGAAUAGGAUUUUGAAACUUUACUAAGAAGAAUGUAAAACUUCUUUCUUACAAAACCAGUAAGUUCAGGGUAGAAUUAUCCUCUUCAUUAUCAUUUUGAUACUGGUUUUAGCAGUACUAAUUAGAUCUUGGUUAUGUAUUUAUUAAUUUAAUUUGAUACAUAGAUGAUUGUGAAUUUUUUUCACUUCAAAACUCACAGACAACUUCAACUAAUGUUGAAUGCCAAAGUGUAAACGUUGAUCGUGUGACAAAUGUAAAUUGAUUCAUGAGGAGAGACUGUGGUUUGGUGCAAAGAAAGUGUUCUGGAAUUGGAAGAUCUGGAUCAGACUCAGGCUCUGUCAGAUAAUGGCUGUAUCAUCUUUGAAAAGCAAAACAAUCUACUAAUGAAAUCAGAAGGAUUUCCAGUGAUGCUGCCCACAUUUCUGUGAAAAAGAGGAAGUUUUUUAAGUCAGAUGGAAGUUACACUUUUUCAAAAAAAAAAAUAUGCAGGGAAGAAUAACUCUCUCUCAUCAAUGUGGUAGGAAAAUAAAAUAUAUUAAUAGUUAAUAAGUAACAUUUGUUGAGAAUUUAUAAUAUCCUAGUUGAGAAUUUAUAAUAUCCUAGAUAUUAUGCUAUGCUGUUUAUAUGCAUUAUUUCAAAAAUACUCACAAUUAUGAGUUAUGAAUGAUCCUUAUGCCUAUUACAAUGAUGACAAUUCUGAGGCUUAGGUUAAAUAAUUGCAAGAGUUCACAAAAGCAGCAAAGGAUUGGAACCAAGACUUGAAUGCAGAUGACCUGACCCAAAGCCUAUGCAUGUAACAGUUUUUUAUAUUGAUGUGUGUAACGGUUAACUUUAUGUGUCAACUUGACUGUACCAGGGGGUGCUAAGAUUAAAUAUUAUUUCGGGGCGUGUCUGGGAAGACAUUUCUGGAUGAGAUUAGCAUUUGAAUUAGUGGACUCAGUAAAGUAAAUGUUCCUCCCCAGUGUGAGUGGUCAUCAUUCAAUCCAUGGAGGGCCUAAAUAGAACAAAAAGGCAGAAGAAGGUGAAAUUCACCCCUUUUACUUCCUGCCUGCCUGCUUGAGCUAAGCCAUUAGUCUUCUCCGAUUCUUGUACUGGGAUUUACAUCAUUGACUUUCCUGGUUCUCAGGCAUUCAGACUCAGACUGGAAUUACGCUGCCGGCUUUCCUGGGUCCUCAGCUUGCAGAGGGCAGAUCAUGGGACUUCUGUGUUUCCAUAAUUGUGUGAGCCAGUUCCGAAUAAUAAAUCUCUCUCUCUCA